rnacentral:lncRNA from 1 species
AAGAUGAAGAAGAUGAAGUCUCUUUCAGGUUUCUAAUUGCUCACAAAACAAUUGCUCCAACACUGCUUUUGAUCUGUGUUCAAUUGUUUUCCCUCAAUGAAUUCGUGUUUUUGCACUGCUGUUGUAACCUGUCUUUUAUAUGCUGCAAAACAGUUGCUGUUAUACCACAAAACAACUUUAUGUAUUGAUACAUAAUAGUGUG